GUGAUUGUAGCUCAGCUGGUUAGAGCGCUGGAUUGUGGCUCCAGAGGCCGUGGGUUCGAAUCCCAUCUUUCACCCCA
rnacentral:tRNA from 1 species